GAUUCGAUGCAGUUUGGGAAAAAAUCAUCUCAGUGAAGACGGACACAAACAAAGCAGCUUGGAGAACACGCCCAAGCCUCCCAGCUGGCUCAUGCUGCACAUCUGCAUUCAGUCUCCUUUGGAGGCGUUAGCCCAGAGCUGGGCAUCCUGCCGAGUUUCCAGGUGUGAAAAAAACACAGGAACUGCAAUUUUUCAGUGGUGAUUCAGCCAAACUGUUGACCCCAAAUCCUCUUUCUGCUGCAGAUGCAUUAAUGCGUUUUCUUAAAUGGUAAGUCCUAAGGUCUAAGCAGCACGGGGCACUGUAGCUUGCGUUUGCUUCUCAGCAUUGCAAGGGCAGGAGCAGCGUGUUUACAGCCAGAUGAACGUGCUAGGGUGUGUGUUUGCAUGGGGGUGUGCUCACAUCAAGAUAUGCGUGUGCUAGCUGCACUCUUUCGCACAGUGUGUGUAAUUGCAUGUGGCAUUCAUGUGGGUGUGCCUGUUAAUCACCCUGUAUACACUGGCCUGUAUGGUGUUAGAGUUAAUGCAUGGUAAGAGAGCGCAGUGUAAGUACACGG